CGAUGGUGGCAGCCGCACGGGAGCGCUCUUGUGCGUCUUAAACUUGAUGGAAAGAGCGAAGGUUGAAGGAAAGGUUGACGUUGUUCGUGAAGUGAAUGAUAUGAGGAGCAUGCGAAGGGGAAUGGUCUGUAAUGAGCUUUUGUACAGAUACAUUUAUUAUUGUAUGAUGGAGUUCGCCGCAUCAUUUAGUGCCUACGCCAACUUUAUGAGUUGAUCACUGAUUUGCAGUGGAAAAAAACAAAUAUAUCGAACUAUACACAAAGCCUGGUAACCACGUAUAUACAAUGGUGAACAUUCAGUGUUAUUUUAAAACGUUUCUUAAUAACUUUAACCGUGUUAAUUGAAGCUUUGAUUUAAUUUUCUAUAUGCAACUUUCAUGGUUCCCUUAGUAUGAAUAUAAUAAUAUUGUGUACGGCGGGACGGUUAUAGCCCCUAAUUUCCAUAUUUCCUAAUCAUGUUUUUACAAUUAACUGCGCUUUUUUGGAUCGGGAAGAUAUGGUUAUGGUUUACUGCCGAGAAAAUAAAUUGAAAACAUCUGUUUGUAUCGCA